rnacentral:rRNA from 1 species
AUACGUAGGGUGCUAGCGUUAUCCGGAUUUACUGGGCGUAAAGGGUGCGUAGGUGGUCUUUCAAGUCGGUGGUUAAAGGCUACGGCUCAACCGUAUUAAGCCGCCGAAACUGGAAGACUUGAGUGCAGGAGAGGAAAGUGGAAUUCUCAGUGUAGCGGUGAAAUGCGUAGAUAUUGAGAAGAACACCAGUAGCGAAGGCGGCUUUCUGGACUGUAACUGACACUGAGGCACGAAAGCGUGGGUAGCAAACAGGAUUAGAUACCCUAGUAGUCCACGCUGUAAACGAUGACAACUAAAUAUUGCCGCGAGGCAGUGUUGAAGCUAACGCAUUAAGUUGUCCGCCUGGGGAGUACGGUCGCAAGGUUGAAACUCAAAUGAAUUGACGGGG